GACAAUUGUAAAUGUGUUUAUUUAUAGUAAUGGAUCUCGAUCCCGACCGAGAGGUAGCUGAUGAUCUUGAGAGUGUAGCGCCUGCUCCCGCACAAGGGACAGCGCCGGCGGACUCUCAACCUCAUGCUAGUAACCCGAAUGAGGAAGCUAGACAAGCUUUCUAUAGCGUGAUGAAUGAUUGGUUCAACCAAUACAUUCGAACUAAUACGGCUGUUCCACAACCUCCCUUCCCGAC
rnacentral:lncRNA from 1 species